AGUUGCGCAGCUAUCUGCAAGUCGAGCGAACUGAUUAGAAGCUUGCUUCUAUGACGUUAGCGGCGGACGGGUGAGUAACACGUGGGCAACCUGCCUGUAAGACUGGGAUAACUUCGGGAAACCGAAGCUAAUACCGGAUAGGAUCUUCUCCUUCAUGGGAGAUGAUUGAAAGAUGGUUUCGGCUAUCACUUACAGAUGGGCCCGCGGUGCAUUAGCUAGUUGGUGAGGUAACGGCUCACCAAGGCAACGAUGCAUAGCCGACCUGAGAGGGUGAUCGGCCACACUGGGACUGAGACACGGCCCAGACUCCUACGGGAGGCAGCAGUAGGGAAUCUUCCGCAAUGGACGAAAGUCUGACGGAGCAACGCCGCGUGAGUGAUGAAGGCUUUCGGGUCGUAAAACUCUGUUGUUAGGGAAGAACAAGUACGAGAGUAACUGCUCGUACCUUGACGGUACCUAACCAGAAAGCCACGGCUAACUACGUGCCAGCAGCCGCGGUAAUACGUAGGUGGCAAGCGUUAUCCGGAAUUAUUGGGCGUAAAGCGCGCGCAGGCGGUUUCUUAAGUCUGAUGUGAAAGCCCACGGCUCAACCGUGGAGGGUCAUUGGAAACUGGGGAACUUGAGUGCAGAAGAGAAAAGCGGAAUUCCACGUGUAGCGGUGAAAUGCGUAGAGAUGUGGAGGAACACCAGUGGCGAAGGCGGCUUUUUGGUCUGUAACUGACGCUGAGGCGCGAAAGCGUGGGGAGCAAACAGGAUUAGAUACCCUGGUAGUCCACGCCGUAAACGAUGAGUGCUAAGUGUUAGAGGGUUUCCGCCCUUUAGUGCUGCAGCUAACGCAUUAAGCACUCCGCCUGGGGAGUACGGUCGCAAGACUGAAACUCAAAGGAAUUGACGGGGGCCCGCACAAGCGGUGGAGCAUGUGGUUUAUUUCGAAGCAACGCGCAGAACCUUACCAGGUCUUGACAUCCUCUGACACUCUAGAGAUAGAGCGUUCCCCUUCGGGGACAGAGUGACAGGUGGUGCAUGGUUGUCGUCAGCUCGUGUCGGUGAGAUGUUGGGGUUAAAGUCCGCACGAAGCGCUACUCUC
rnacentral:rRNA from 2 species